UACGUAGGUCCCGAGCGUUGCCCGGAUUUAUUGGGCGUAAAGCGAGCGCAGGUGGUUUAUUAAGUCUGGUGUAAAAGGCAGUGGCUCAACCAUUGUAUGCAUUGGAAACUGGUAGACUUGAGUGCAGGAGAGGAGAGUGGAAUUCCAUGUGUAGCGGUGAAAUGCGUAGAUAUAUGGAGGAACACCGGUGGCGAAAGCGACUCUCUGGCCUGUAACUGACACUGAGGCUCGAAAGCGUGGGGAGCAAACAGG
rnacentral:rRNA from 1 species